CUUCAACUCGACAUUGGAAAGAGGAGACAGGUUGUAUCCUGUCAGCUCCGGUUUCCCUGGAAACACAAACACAAGUCUUUACAACACUAUCCACAUCACAAGAUAAUGCAGCCUAUUCAUUGUCGAAGGAGGUAACGCAAACUAGGCAUUGUCGGAGGUAAUGCAGGCUAUGCAUUGUCAAAUGAGGUAAUGCCAAAUAUACAUUGUCGGAGGUAAUGUAGACAAAAUAUGUAUUGUCGAAGGAGGCAAUGCAGACUAACAUUAGGCUAUGCAUGGUUGAAGGAGAUAAUGCAGCCUAACUAUGCAUUGUUGAAGGAGAUAAUGCAGCCUAACUAGGCAUUGUUGGAGGUAAUGUAGCCUAUGCAUUGCCAGAGGAGGUAAUGCAGCCUAACUGUGCAUUGUUGAUGGAGAUAAUGCAAACUAACUGUAAAUUGUCUGAGGAGAUAAUGAGAACAAUCGAUGCAUUGUUGGAGGUAAUGCAGAUUAACAUGAGGUAUUGUUGGAGGUAAUGCAGAAUAACAUUAGGUAUUGUUGGAGGUAAUGCAGAAUAACAUUAGGUAUUGUUGGAGGUAAUGCAGAUUAACAUUAGGUAUUGUUGGAGGUAAUGCAGAUUAACAUGAGGUAUUGUUGGAGGUAAUGCAGAAUAACAUUAGGUAUUGUUGGAGGUAAUGCAGAAUAACAUUAGGUUAUGCAUUGUUGAAGGAUACAUUACUGAUCAGGGCCCGGUUUUCUAAAAGCAUGUUAAGGCUAAGCGCAUCAUUAAAUCAAAUCAAAUGUAUUUAUAUAGCCCUUCGUACAUCAGCUGAUAUCUCAAAGUGCUGUACAGAAACCCAGCCUAAAACCCCAAACAGCAAGCAAUGCUGAUGAAAUGAACUAAGUCUGAAGAGGCUUUUGGGAAACCGGGCCCUGUACUGUUCACUACAGCCUAAAGGAAGUAUGGUUGAUGACGUUAUGUAAUG